CCCAGCCUGGGAUUUUCAGGUGUUGCAUUUGGUGAUCAGCACAGAACACAGAGACUGAACUUACCAUGGAAUUUGUGCUGAGCUGGGUUUUACUUGUUGCUAUUUUAAAAGGUGUCCAGUGUGAGGUGCAGCUGGUGGAGUCUGGCGGACGCUUGGUUCAGCCUGGGGGGUCCCUGAGACUCUCCUGUGCGGCCUCUGGAUUCACAUUCAGUAGCUACGCCAUGGCCUGGGUCCGCCAGGCUCCGGGGAAGGGGCUGGAGUGGGUCUCAGCCAUUAGUAGUGGUGGCACAUACUACGCAGACUCCGUGAAGGGCCGAUUCACCAUCUCCAGAGACAACGCCAAGAACUCGCUGGAUCUGCAGAUGAACAGCCUGAGAGCCGAGGACACGGCCGUGUAUUACUGUGCGAGAGACACAGUGAGGGGAAGUCAGUGUGAGCCGGAACACAAACCUCCUGCAGGAACUCUCGGGGAAUCAGCUGCAGGGGGCGCUCGGGAGCCACUGAUCAGCGUCAACCCCAGAGGCAGGUGCAGAUGGAGGCUGAUUUCCUGUCAGGAUGUGGGACUUCAUCUUCUGACAGUUUCUCUAGUGAAUCUCUCUAAAUUUAGAAUUCUGUGCUUCCUAAUAUUAUCUCUACCUUAUUUUUUAAAGAUCGAGAGAGAAGAAAGAAAAGUUCCAAAGCUCUGUCCAUUCUUUCAGGAAUGA